rnacentral:rRNA from 1 species
GACGAACGCUGGCGGCGUGCCUAAUACAUGCAAGUCGAACGAAAAGGCCCUGCGUUUGUUCGGCGGACGAUAGCCGAAGACGGGAGUGACACGCGUGGAACCUCUCCCUGUCAUUGUGGGAACUCCUCGGAACUCGGGCGCUUAUCGGGUAUGAUCUCUUGCUGCGUAGGGUGGGAUAGUAAGUGUCGGCGGUUGGGGAUGGACUCGCUGCUUAUCCGCCUGUUUGGGGGGUAGUGGCUUACCAAGGCUUUGACGGGUAGCCGGCCUGAGAGGGGUACCGGCGACAUUGGGACUGAGAUACGGCCCAGACUCCUACGGGAGGCAGCAGUCGGGAAUAUUGCACAAUGGGCGGAAGCCUGAUGCAGCAACGCCGCGUGCGGGAUGCCGGCCUUCGGGUUGUAAACCGAUUUCGACUGUGAUGAAGCGUGAGUGACGGUAAUGGGUAAAGAAGCAACGGCUAACUACGUG